rnacentral:rRNA from 1 species
CGGUCUGGUGGCGAGAGGCGAACGGGUGAGUAAUAUAUCGGAACGUGCCCAGUCGUGGGGGAUAACGUAGUGAAAAUUACGCUAAUACCGCAUACGAUCUAUGGAUGAAAGCGGGGGAUCGCAAGACCUCGCGCGAUUGGAGCGGCCGAUAUCAGAUUAGGUAGUUGGUGAGGUAAAGGCUCACCAAGCCGACGAUCUGUAGCUGGUCUGAGAGGACGACCAGCCACACUGGAACUGAGACACGGUCCAGACUCCUACGGGAGGCAGCAGUGGGGAAUUUUGGACAAUGGACGCAAGUCUGAUCCAGCCAUUCCGCGUGCAGGACGAAGGCCUUCGGGUUGUAAACUGCUUUUGUACAGAACGAAAAGGUCUCUAUUAAUACUAGGGGCUCAUGACGGUACUGUAAGAAUAAGCACCGGCUAACUACGUGCCAGCAGCCGCGGUAAUACGUAGGGUGCAAGCGUUAAUCGGAAUUACUGGGCGUAAAGCGUGCGCAGGCGGUUAUAUAAGACAGAUGUGAAAUCCCCGGGCUCAACCUGGGAACUGCAUUUGUGACUGUAUAGCUGGAGUGCGGCAGAGGGGGAUGGAAUUCCGCGUGUAGCAGUGAAAUGCGUAGAUAUGCGGAGGAACACCGAUGGCGAAGGCAAUCCCCUGGGCCUGCACUGACGCUCAUGCACGAAAGCGUGGGGAGCAAACAGGA